rnacentral:rRNA from 1 species
CCUACGGGUGGCAGCAGUGGGGAAUAUUGGGCAAUGGGCGCAAGCCUGACCCAGCAACGCCGCGUGAAGGAAGAAGGCUUUCGGGUUGUAAACCUCUUUUGUCGGGGAGCAAAAGCCGGACGUGUCCGGCUGUGAGAGUACCCGAAGAAAAAGCAUCGGCUAACUCCGUGCCAGCAGCCGCGGUAAUACGGAGGAUGCGAGCGUUAUCCGGAUUUAUUGGGUUUAAAGGGUGCGCAGGCGGAUUUUUAAGUCAGCGGUCAAAUCGUGGGGCUCAACCCCAUCCAGCCGUUGAAACUGGGGAUCUAGAGUGUGCGAGAGGUAUGCGGAAUGCGUGGUGUAGCGGUGAAAUGCAUAGAUAUCACGCAGAACCCCGAUUGCGAAGGCAGCAUACCGGUGCACAACUGACGCUCAGGCACGAAAGCGUGGGUAUCGAACAGGAUUAGAUACCCUGGUAGUC